UACGAAGGGUGCAAGCGUUACUCGGAAUUACUGGGCGUAAAGCGUGCGUAGGUGGUUUGUUAAGUCUGUUGUGAAAGCCCCGGGCUCAACCUGGGAAUGGCAAUGGAUACUGGCAAGCUAGAGUGCGGUAGAGGGUAGUGGAAUUCCCGGUGUAGCGGUGAAAUGCGUAGAGAAUCGGAAGAACACCAACGGCGAAAAGCACAUCUGCUGGGCCGACACUGACACUGAGAGACGAAAGCUAGGGGAGCGAAUGG
rnacentral:rRNA from 1 species